rnacentral:tRNA from 1 species
GCAUCAAUGGGGUAGUGGUAACCUGGGUCGUUGCCAUGUUCAUGACUGUCCCAUCUAUAACUGAGCUUCGACCCGCCGAGGGUUCGAUUCCCUCUUGAUGCA